rnacentral:rRNA from 1 species
GUCGAGCGGUAACAGAUCUAGCUUGCUAGAUGCUGACGAGCGGCGGACGGGUGAGUAAUGCAUAGGAAUCUGCCCGGUAGUGGGGGAUAACCUGGGGAAACCCAGGCUAAUACCGCAUACGUCCUACGGGAGAAAGGGGGCUUCGGCUCCCGCUAUUGGAUGAGCCUAUGUCGGAUUAGCUAGUUGGUGAGGUAAAGGCUCACCAAGGCAACGAUCCGUAGCUGGUCUGAGAGGAUGAUCAGCCACAUCGGGACUGAGACACGGCCCGAACUCCUACGGGAGGCAGCAGUGGGGAAUAUUGGACAAUGGGGGCAACCCUGAUCCAGCCAUGCCGCGUGUGUGAAGAAGGCCCUCGGGUUGUAAAGCACUUUCAGCGAGGAAGAACGCCUAGUGGUUAAUACCCAUUAGGAAAGACAUCACUCGCAGAAGAAGCACCGGCUAACUCCGUGCCAGCAGCCGCGGUAAUACGGAGGGUGCAAGCGUUAAUCGGAAUUACUGGGCGUAAAGCGCGCGUAGGUGGCUUGAUAAGCCGGUUGUGAAAGCCCCGGGCUCAACCUGGGAACGGCAUCCGGAACUGUCAGGCUAGAGUGCAGGAGAGGAA